UUUAGAUGGCGACCGGCGCACGGGUGAGUAACACGUAUCCAACCUGCCGAUGACUCGGGGAUAGCCUUUCGAAAGAAAGAUUAAUACCCGAUGGCAUAGUUCUUCCGCAUGGUAGAACUAUUUAAAGAAUUUCGGUCAUCGAUGGGGAUGCGUUCCAUUAGGUUGUUGGCGGGGUAACGGCCCACCAAGCCUUCGAUGGAUAGGGGUUCUGAGAGGAAGGUCCCCCACAUUGGAACUGAGACACGGUCCAA
rnacentral:rRNA from 1 species